rnacentral:tmRNA from 1 species
AUUUUUUUUGUAAGGUAUUAUAUUACUUUUUGCCAGGGGAAACUCUGACUAUGACACUAGAGGCACUAUGAAAUAGGAUAUUUGGACCCGGGGGCAGAACCCGGCGCCUCCACCAAUCAUAGCAAUCGACGCCAAAAUCCGCUCGUAUUGCGCGUUUUUAACGGGGGCGAUAUAGGUUUGACAGGUAUCAAUAAAGAUAGCCAAAUGCUGUGUCCGGUGAGAUACCACCGUUAUCGGUUCAACUUAAAAUGAAUGCUAACGAUAAUAACGUAGCUCCUGUUGCUUUAGCCGCUUAAUAGUGGUUAGCAACACUAUCAAUUCUUAGAGACUUGGAGUUCUUUAAGUGGGGUUAUGAGGCUCUCCCAACAACAGAAAAGCCU